rnacentral:lncRNA from 1 species
CACAAUCUCUUUGUUUGUUGAAAACUCACUUUCACUCAUCAAUUCUCUUUCAUUUUCAACAACACUUGUUUCUCGCACUCUUUCUUUUCUUUCUCCAAUCUUUUUCUCUUUUUCAAUUUUUGUUUCUUUUUCGGUUUCUUUUUCUCUCGUCACUCUUUUUCUUCUCUCAACUUUAUUACAAAAUGGAGAUAAUACAAAAGAAUCAGAACAAUAGACUUUUCGUUUGAAAGAAGUGGAAGAAUCUUCAUAAGAGUCACAAUCAACUCUUCGUGAAUAAACCUCCAUGGAUGAGUUCUUAUAUGAAACACAUUCACUUCUUCGUAAGGAUUUUUCCUUAGAU